UACGAAGGGGGCUAGCGUUGUUCGGAAUUACUGGGCGUAAAGCGCACGUAGGCGGAUCGAUCAGUCAGGGGUGAAAUGCCAGGGCUCAACCUUGGAACUGCCUUUGAUACUGGAGACCUUGAGUCCGGGAGAGGUGAGUGGAAUUGCGAGUGUAGAGGUGAAAUUCGUAGAUAUUCGCAAGAACACCAGUGGCGAAGGCGGCUCACUGGCCCGGAACUGACGCUGAGACGCGAAAGCGUGGGGAGCAAACAGG
rnacentral:rRNA from 1 species